GACGAACGCUGGUGGCGUGCCUAACACAUGCAAGUCGAGCGAAGUGAGUACUACGGUACGAACUUAGCGGCGGACGGGUGAGUAACGCGUGGACAGUCUACCCUGUAGACUGGGAUAACACCUCGAAAGGGGUGCUAAUACCGGAUAAUGUCGAGAAGCGGCAUCGCUUUUCGAAGAAAGGAGAGAAUCCGCUAUAGGAGGCGUCCGCGUCCCAUUAGCUAGUUGGUGAGGGUAACGGCCCACCAAGGCGACGAUGGGUAGCCGGCCUGAGAGGGUGAACGGCCACACUGGAACUGAGACACGGUCCAGACUCCUACGGGAGGCAGCAGUGGGGAAUAUUGUGCAAUGGGGGAAACCCUGACACAGCAACGCCGCGUGAGCGAAGAAGGCCUUCGGGUUGUAAAGCUCAAUAGUAUGGGAAGAUAAUGACGGUACCAUACGAAAGCCCCGGCUAACUACGUGCCAGCCGCCGCCGUAAUAC
rnacentral:rRNA from 1 species